AUCCCUACCUGCUCCCUUAGCCAGCUAUUUCUUAGCUUUCGCAUCUCAUUCCCUCUUUAAUUUCUCCGUUGUGAAAUUCUUCACUGAGAGAAUAAUUUUUUUGUUUGUUUCUAAAGUAAAGUUUUCGAUUCAUUUUUUCGAACAAAUUAUAAUAAAAUUGAACAGAUUCUUUAUAGUAAUUCACACACACACACACACACACAUAAAUAGUUGUGAGUGUUUUGUAAAAUCUUUAAAUUAAGAGACGUUAAUUGAAAUUGAAGAACGCGAGCACUUGGAUUGAAUCUUCGAAGCUCUAAAGGUUAGACUGGACAUUCGGAAGUGACUUGAGGAACACGUGUAUGGAAUUGAUAUCUUUUAAUGGAGCUGAAUUUAUUAGUGACGAUCUUGUUUUAUUUCUUGGAAGUGCGAUUAACUGAUUGUUCGAACUGUGUGAAGUGAGCCUUUGAAGUUGUAUAGCAUGGCGCAGAGCAAUUGGGAAGCAGAUAAGAUGCUUGAUGUUUACAUUCACGAUUAUUUGUUGAAAAGAAAAUUGCAUAAUUCUGCACAAGCUUUCAUGACGGAAGGGAAGGUUGCUACAGACCCUGUAGGUAAGAGAUC